CGGCGUGCUUAAUACAUGCAAGUUGAGCGGAGCUAAUAGUGAGUUUACUUAUUAUUAGUCGAGCAGCGGACGGGUGAGUAACGCGUGGGCAAUCUGCCCUCUAGUUUGGGAUAACAGUUCGAAAGGACUGCUAACACCGAAUAAUACUUAAAUUUGGGCAUACUAAAUUUAAGGAAAGUUAACGCUAGAGGAUGAGCCCGCGUCCCAUUAGCUAGUUGGUGAGGUAACGGCCCACCAAGGCAACGAUGGGUAGCCGACCUGAGAGGGUGACCGGCCACACUGGGACUGAGACACGGCCCAGACUCCUACGGGAGGCAGCAGUAGGGUAAUUUUCCGCAAUGGACGAAAGUCUGACGGAGCAACGCCGCGUGAGGGAUGAAGGUUUUCGGAUCGUAAACCUCUGUCCUUGGGGAAGAUAAUGACGGUACCCAAGGAGGAAGCCACGGCUAACUACGUGCCAGCCGCCGC
rnacentral:rRNA from 1 species